GAGCGGCGCAUCCUCAGGGCCUGGGCCUGGCCUCCUUGCCUGUGAGAUGGCACUGUGACGGUGCCCACCUCGUGGGGUGUGUGAGGGCCGAGUGAAAUCGUGCAUUUGCGGAAAUGCCCAUGACCUUCAUCGCAGCAGCGUAUGUGCGUUGGUCUUCUCCAGGGAUGCCGAAAGUAGACAUACAGGGAGUCGCAGUACGGAUACCACCAGUGCCAGCCUGACCUCACAAGAGACGUCUUGUGUGACUGGCCCUGCCGUCACAGCUGGGCCAGUAAAGUACCUUCCAGGAGGCUCCAGUUGCUACCUGACUCACAACCUUCUAAUCCCAUGAUCUUUUAGUUCUAGUUUCCUUAUCUUGGUCUGAGCAAAUGGCUCAUUUUAAAGAUGACUUGCAGACAAAUGUAGAGAUCAUCCCAGGGGAAAGUGCCCCAAGAAAGGAGAGUCCAAGACCACCUGCCCCUCCCAGUUCUGCGGCUGGAGUGGGUGGGUGCAGCAACCACAGCCCCAGUGUACAGGAGUCACCACUGUCUCCUCCCGCAUUGGCCCAGCUUGGAAGUGCACAGCAACCAAGCAUGAGGACUGAGUUAAGCUUUUCGGAGAAAAAAGACACUAUGAUCAUCUGGCAGAUCACGAUCACUGUUUGGUGCCAGAGGUCUGAAAUGCAGAAGACAGAAGAUGAGCUCUGGCUCUUCACCUGCAUGGCUGGUGGCAGUGUGGCCUCAGUCUUCUGGGGCUUGAGGAGCUCUGACACUGGUCAGGUCAGAGGUGCCCACUCACCCACUGCUGCCCGUAGCUGUCUUCCACAUCGUUGAUCCAGCGGUCAUCCCAGUCCACUCGGAGGCCCAACAGGUGAAUUGGGAGGAAGCCGUUCUCAGCCAGAAUCACAAACUUGCCCUCGCCCUCCGUGUACCCAUCGAUCUUCAGACCUGGUACUUGUUGGUGGAGUUGAAGGGUAUCUCGACGAUUUUGGCGUAUCUUUCUCUCAUCUCCUUCACGGAACCACAGCACAGCUCUAUGCACUUUAAGAGUGCUGACUCAGAGGCAUCUCCUGCAACUGCCCGCUGUGAACAGAGACAUCAUCUGUAAAUUAUCUCCAAAAAAUUUCACUGAGGCAUCACUAAAAAACAGGAAAAAUAACUCAAGACACAUUCCAAUCUUGUCAGAGGUAGCAGAGGAUGGGCAAGAAGGAAGCAGCGGUGUUAAGUGGGACAGGAGUCCCUCUAGCCCCGACCACUGCUGUUCACAGUGCUUCAGACUCAAACCCCAACGUCCUUCCCCACCCCACAGCAGCUUCUAGUGAAAGAAGGGUGUGGGAAGGUGUCACCUUCCCUAGAAGAGGUAUUAACACACCCUUCCAACCUACUGCAGUCUAUUUCUAUCUUCCCCUGGCCUACUGAAAAGUCUCAAAGCCAAUGCUAUUCCCAACUACCUACUUCUGGUUACUUAUCUGAAAAUACCAAGUGAGAGAUUAAACAUUUAUAGCACCUUUCAUUACCGUAGAAUUCGUAAGAAAAUGCUUAAGGUCUCAGGACUGGGGACAAGCUGCCUGUGUCAAGGGCAAAGUAGAAGACUGUGCAUUCUAAUCAUAACUGUGCAAAAUUAACUGGGCCUGAAGGAUGUGAACUGAAAGCUAUUACCAACUCCAACAGUAAUAAAAUCGAACCACGUAACAUUUUAGUUAAAGCCCAUGCUUCAGUGACACACAUAUUUUCUAUGAUACAUGAUGACACACUUAUAUUUUGACAUACUGAAAGCAUUUUCAGUUGUAAACAAAUUUUAUAUAGGUAAACCUUUUAGAACCUUAACAUGUAAGGCUGCAUAUGCAGAUGAACAGAUCAAUGCUCAGAAGUAUAGCAGCUCCACAGAGCAAGAAAGUUGGCUGGGUUUGGAAAGAAACACAAAAUAAGUGGGGGACAUUUUAAAUAAAAGCCACUUAUUUUAAUAAAAGCCAUUUUUAAUAAAAGCAGAAUAGGGCUGCUUCUCCCUCCCCGCUUUUUAGUAAUAAUGCCAUCAACAUGGCCGAACUCCAGAAAUACUUGGAAUACAGCUUCUGCUACCUUUCUGGGGUUUUUUAAUCAGGAAAGAUUUGAUACUUGUGGGACCUGAUGCUCAAAGCCUAGAACAUUUCCACUUUGAGGUAAAGAAAAACAUGAAACAUUUAUCUCAAGUUUUAUCCUCAAGAUACACAACAUUAUCCUCAAAUCAACAUCAAUUCAAUGCCAAGAAAAUCUCCUUUGCAGAAUAAAUGAACCCUAUCCUCAUCACAGAAGGCAUCUGAGUUACAUCCAAGCCAUAUUCCCUUUGGCAACUUAGUUUAUACCCACAACUACUACAGGCAGCUUCACAGAGAAUGUGGGACCCAGAGAGCCUCACAUAGCUUUCUUCUCCUACAGGACUUUGUACAAUUCAUGAUCCUUCUGAGACUGCAUCUUCACUUGGGCAGCAUAGUAAAAUCUCAAUCAUUUCAAACUGCAUCAGAAUUCCACAGGCUAAGGCUGGGCUUAUUUUGGCCUGGAGCUUAUUUUUACAUCAUUAGUAAACAAGCUAAGAACCAAUAAGAUAAGAUAAGCUGAGCUAUUUCAGGAAAAUAAAUGGCUUAAAGGAGUUACUGGAAUCUACUGUAUCCUAAUAUGCAAAUACGAUUAUGGAGUCACUGCAGCCCUCAGCUCUCACUGUCCACUAGGUUAGGUGAUAACAUAUAAACUCAAGAGUAGUAAAAGCAGAUGAAUUAGGUUUUUCACCAAUAAAGACUGUCUUCCGUCUCCUCCCCUCCCACUUUGGUCAGAUUUUUACUGCAUCUUCCCUUUUUAAUCAACCUAUAUGGAGCAGGGGGUCCUAUAAUACAUCAGGAUCUACAGGCAACACAAUGUAAGUUACACACAGCAAAGUACUGCACAGACCACUCCAGGUGUUCUACAGUGAACAGUCACACAGACCACAAAGGUAAUUUGCUACUUUUAACACUCAAAUGGCAGUUCUCAUGUGCUGUCUACAUCCCUCCAUUAGUUAACUCUUGAGCAUACCUUAAGAAUAGGUAGGUUUUCCUGGUUAGCCUGAAACACUGCCCUGUUACAAAGACCUGCAAUUCUGGACAGAGCAAGCCAGGUAGCUGAAGUCUUGUCAAAAGAGACACCUGAUGGAGGCAAGAAAACACAACAGAACAACAAUGCAUUAACUUCAAAGGCUGUGUUCUCAGUUCUCCUAUUAAAGUCCCAUAGAAAUCUGCAGUGAUACAUCUCAUUUCCCAAUUAAUGAAACCAAUCACAUUUUAGGCAUUCUUCAGUCACGUUUGUAGGGCAAUUUAAAGUUUCUACUGACAUGCAAAAAAUCAAUAUCCCAUACCCUUGACUC
ensembl:lncRNA ATP1A1-AS1 ATP1A1 antisense RNA 1